rnacentral:rRNA from 1 species
GAAGGCUUGACCUCAAAUCAGGAGGACUACCCCCU